rnacentral:rRNA from 1 species
AGUCGAAGAUACCAGCUGGCUGCAACUGUUUAUUAAAAACACAGCACUGUGCAAACACGAAAGUGGACGUAUACGGUGUGACGCCUGCCCGGUGCCGGAAGGUUAAUUGAUGGGGUUAUCCGUAAGGAGAAGCUCUUGAUCGAAGCCCCGGUAAACGGCGGCCGUAACUAUAACGGUCCUAAGGUAGCGAAAUUCCUUGUCGGGUAAGUUCCGACCUGCACGAAUGGCGUAAUGAUGGCCAGGCUGUCUCCACCCGAGACUCAGUGAAAUUGAACUCGCUGUGAAGAUGCAGUGUACCCGCGGCAAGACGGAAAGACCCCGUGAACCUUUACUAUAGCUUGACACUGAACACUGGUCCUUGAUGUGUAGGAUAGGUGGGAGGCUUUGAAGUGUGGACGCCAGUCUGCAUGGAGCCAUCCUUGAAAUACCACCCUUUAAUGGCUGGUGUUCUAACGUGGACCCGUUACCCGGGUUGCGGACAGUGUCUGGUGGGUAGUUUGACUGGGGCGGUCUCCUCCUAAAGAGUAACGGAGGAGCACGAAGGUUAGCUAAUCCUGGUCGGACAUCAGGAGGUUAGUGCAAAGGCAUAAGCUAGCUUGACUGCGAGAGUGACGGCUCGAGCAGGUGCGAAAGCAGGUCUUAGUGAUCCGGUGGUUCUGAAUGGAAGGGCCAUCGCUCAACGGAUAAAAGGUACUCCGGGGAUAACAGGCUGAUACCGCCCAAGAGUUCAUAUCGACGGCGGUGUUUGGCACCUCGAUGUCGGCUCAUCACAUCCUGGGGCUGAAGUAGGUCCCAAGGGUAUGGCUGUUCGCCAUUUAAAGUGGUACGCGAGCUGGGUUUAGAACGUCGUGAGACAGUUCGGUCCCUAUCUGCCGUGGGCGCUGGAGAAUUGAGGGGGGCUGCUCCUAGUACGAGAGGACCGGAGUGGACGCAUCACUGGUGUUCGGGUUGUCAUGCCAAUGGCAUUGCCCGGUAGCUAAAUGCGGAAGAGAUAAGUGCUGAAAGCA